UAAAAUAUUUAUGAUUUUUAGAAUCUAUAUGAGUUGAUACUUCUUUCAAGAAAUUGAAAGAAUGUCAUUUUAACAUUUUUCUUGUUAACAGACAAUGUUACUUUAGAAUCCCAAUGCAAAAGUUAUACUUACUUUCAAUUUAAUAUUAAUUUUAAAAAUAAUUUUAUUUAUCUCAAAUAGUUUUGAUCAAAUAAGUGUAACUAAUAAAAUCAUAAAUGAAUUCAAUUAUUUUCUAAAUCUGUGUAAACAAUUAUAGGUGAUACUUUCUAAAAACAUUAAGAAACAGAGGAAUAUUUUCUAACUUACUUUAUAUUUGAAGAAUAUUCAAACUUUUAUUUUACAUAGAUAUAUGUUGUGAUGGAUAAUAUUUCUAAACCAAAAUGCAUAAGUAAAUUAUUAUUUAGUUCUUGACAAUAACAUCAACAAAUGAUAAAAGUAUGAAUUUAAAAUUUUAAUUAUAUAUGAAUAACUGUAUUAUGAUCCUUUUGUUUUAUUACCUCAUGUUUUAUGUCUAUGCACACAAAUUUAAAAAGAAUUAUGUUUGAAGAUUUAGAAAACAAAGCACAUUAACUAUUUACCAAAUCACAGCUCAACUAAUAGAAAAUAAACUAUGAAAUAAAAAUUCACAUAGCAUGAAAAGAUAUAAAUUUAUAUUGAAAAUUAAAAACUUCAUCUAUGAAGAAUUUCAAUUCAAAUAUUAUAUGAGGCUCAAGGAAAUACAUACAAUUAAAACGGUUAUUUAUGGUUUAUUAAAUUUAUGGAGUUUUUAAAAAAUCAUCUUCCAUAAUAUAUUUAUUUUAAAUUGUAUUGUAAACAAGUAUGGAGUGGCAUCAGUAUGCAACGGAGGAGGAGGAGCAUCAGCACUUGUUCUUGAGUUCAUGUAAGCUUCUUCUUUAACUCUGGUCGGAGAAGACAAUAGGGUAUUCAGCACUCUGAAGCCAAUAGAUGUUGUUACAGAACGCAAAGCAUGUGAUUUUUUUUGAAGUUU